GGGAAUAUGGCUUAGUGGUACAGUACUUGUCUAGCAUGCAUGAGGCCCUGGGUUCAAUUCCUCAGUACCA
rnacentral:tRNA from 1 species